UGCCAGCCGCCGCGGUAAUACGGAGGGUGCAGGCGUUAAUCGGAAUUACUGGGCGUAAAGCGCGCGUAGGCGGCUUUUUAAGUCGGAUGUGAAAGCCCCGGGCUCAACCUGGGAACUGCAUCCGAUACUGGAAGGCUAGAGUGCGAGAGAGGGAGGUAGAAUUCCAUGUGUAGCGGUGAAAUGCGUAGAUAUAUGGAGGAAUACCAGUGGCGAAGGCGGCCUCCUGGAUCUGUACUGACACUGAGGUGCGAAAGCGUGGGUAGCGAACAGGAUUAGAUA
rnacentral:rRNA from 1 species